rnacentral:rRNA from 1 species
AUUGAACGCUGGCGGCGUGCCUAAUACAUGCAAGUCGAGCGAAUGGAUUAAGAGCUUGCUCUUAUGAAGUUAGCGGCGGACGGGUGAGUAACACGUGGGUAACCUGCCCAUAAGACUGGGAUAACUCCGGGAAACCGGGGCUAAUACCGGAUAACAUUUUGAACCGCAUGGUUCGAAAUUGAAAGGCGGCUUCGGCUGUCACUUAUGGAUGGACCAGCGUCGCAUUAGCUAGUUGGUGAGGUAACGGCUCACCAAGGCAACGAUGCGUAGCCGACCUGAGAGGGUGAUCGGCCACACUGGGACUGAGACACGGCCCAGACUCCUACGGGAGGCAGCAGUAGGGAAUCUUCCGCAAUGGACGAAAGUCUGACGGAGCAACGCCGCGUGAGUGAUGAAGGCUUUCGGGUCGUAAAACUCUGUUGUUAGGGAAGAACAAGUGCUAGUUGAAUAAGCUGGCACCUUGACGGUACCUAACCAGAAAGCCACGGCUAACUACGUGCCAGCCGCCGCAGUAA